AAUAGAUACCCCGGUAGUCCACGCCGUAAACGAUGAGUGCUAAGUGUUAGGGGGUUUCCGCCCCUUAGUGCUGCAGCUAACGCAUUAAGCACUCCGCCUGGGGAGUACGGUCGCAAGACUGAAACUCAAAGGAAUUGACGGGGGCCCGCACAGGCGGUGGAGCAUGUGGUUUAAUUCGAAGCAACGCGAAGAACCUUACCAGGUCUUGACAUCCCAUUGACCACUAUGGAGACAUAGUUUUCCCUUCGGGGACAACGGUGACAGGUGGUGCAUGGUUGUCGUCAGCUCGUGUCGUGAGAUGUUGGGUUAAGUCCCGCAACGAGCGCAACCCUUGUUCUUAGUUGCCAUCAUUUAGUUGGGCACUCUAAGGAGACUGCCGGUGACAAACCGGAGGAAGGUGGGGAUGACGUCAAAUCAUCAUGCCCCUUAUGACCUGGGCUACACACGUGCUACAAUGGACGGUACAAACGGUUGCCAACCCGCGAGGGGGAGCUAAUCCGAUAAAACCGUUCUCAGUUCGGAUUGUAGGCUGCAACUCGCCUACAUGAAGCC
rnacentral:rRNA from 1 species